rnacentral:misc_RNA from 1 species
ACGAGAUAUACGAGAAGAUGGAGUGUUAGACACUAGUUUGCGAAGCUCAAAGGAUAUUUCCUGAUGUAUCAAAGUCGAUUUUUUCCCCAUUUUUUUGUAUUUUUGAACGGGUACAUGUAAGGGGUUUAUUUCUGUUUUUGUAACAUGCAUAAAUAAAGUAAAUCAAACGGGUUGAUUUUUUAAAAGUAGUAUGCUACAACAUGCAAAGGUUUCGAUCUUGUUUUCAGAGAUCAUAUUAACAUAUUUUCUUGAACGAACAUAGUUUAUUAUUAACAACAUUCCCCGUUUUU